rnacentral:ncRNA from 1 species
AUUUUUGGGUACCCGGUAGGCUUAUGUUUUGUUGAGAAGGUCAGUAUGGGAAUUUGGUGAAAAGCCAAAACUGACGCGCAGCGGUAAGAAGGGACCGGUUUUCUAAUAGCCACUGGCAUAGAGCUGGGAAGGAAGGAAACCAGGAAUGAUCUUCAAGUCCGAAUAUCUGCUGGCCUUUUGUUAACGAG